UACGGGGGGAGCAAGCGUUGUUCGGAUUUACUGGGCGUAAAGGGCGCGUAGGCGGCCACCGCAAGUCGACUGUGAAAUCUCCGGGCUUAACCCGGAAAGGUCAGCCGAUACUGCGGGGCUAGAGUGCAGAAGGGGCAACUGGAAUUCUCGGUGUAGCGGUGAAAUGCGUAGAUAUCGAGAGGAACACCUGCGGCGAAGGCGAGUUGCUGGGCUGACACUGACGCUGAGGCGCGAAAGCUAGGGGAGCGAACGGG
rnacentral:rRNA from 1 species